CUAAACGUAUAAAAACGGGACGCAUGUGCCCAGAAAAGACACGACUCAAAGGAACCUGUUGCCGACUUUCCGUUGGAAUAGCUUUUUUGAAGACUCAACAAUAUUCUGCUGCCAUCAAGCUGGAAAGCCAUGCAGGCUGAGAAGAAAUGGCACAUACUUUUGAGUAUAAUCAUUAUGCUCAUUACUUCGAGCCAUUGCAUGGACAGCAAGGAGGCGAAGCUGAAAGAGAGACGAACACUGUUGGAUUUAUUCUUACAAGUGAUUGGCGAAAACCAACGGGACAAGCUUGUCAACAGGCGCAUCACCAGUGGCCUAUUCUCUGUAUCUCAAGACUUGAAAUUUUCCUCGCGUGAAAAAUCCUCAUACUUACCUAAGCAAGACAGAAGCAAACCAAUAGGUAAGCUAGCGAUGUUAUUGUUCGUGGCAUGUUCACAAAUUCCUUGUAGGAUUGUGUUAGACUUACUAAACUGCAGCCAACAGCCCUGAGGAAAGACACUGAGACAUUGUUGGUUUUGACACAUUUAAGGUUUUAAAAUCCAACUUUACUGUGGUGCACUUUUAGAACCAGCUGUCAUUGAGUCUCCUUCAUUCAGACUAGAACACAACAGGAGACUGUCUGUGUCACGUUCUCACCUGGAAAUACUCCGUUUGGUUCACUGUGCAGUCACAUGGAUAAGUGGAAGAAAACUGCUUGGACCAAUGGGAGUACAUAGGGAAUACUGCAAGAUAUUUCAUCAGAAGAUGCCAAGAGGUUGUCCCAAGAGACACAAGCCUGAAAGACAGGUUCAUAAAUCAUUUUACAGCAGGACCAGUGAAGUUCUCAUCGGAGUGCAGAACACAUUUUCAGAGACUUUAUUAUAAUACAAGGGAUUGCUCAAGACCACUAUACUACAAAAGAUGUGCAAGAUUGCUAACGCGGCUAGCAUUGAGUCCGCUCUGUUCACAGUCGUAAAUGUUGCAUGUAAGUACCAGAAAGACUCUCUACGUGGCAUUUGACAUGUUAUGUAAUGCUGUGUGUCCAUUAUUACACUUAACACGGAUCAGUAAAAAGGCAGAAUCCAGAUCAUGGAACUUAAAACUCUUUGCACUUGGGAACAUUGGGAACAAUCCCAAAUGUUCUUGUCCAGAUGAUAAUCGAUUAAAUCAUACAGUUUAUCACUUACCUUAAAAUAAAGCAGCUACUGUAUCUAGAGAUACUUAUUGAAGAAGGCACAAUAUCACAAAUCAGAAGAUAAGCAGUACUUACGGAUUGUUUCUAUUGUUACAUCUGUGAGUCAUUAUCACAAGUUUGGUGAAACCUUACAAGGAGUCAUUGAAUUACAUGUAAUAUCACUUUAAUAAAAGCCACAUGCUUACUGUGGGAUUUGGGUUGCUAUUUGAGCUUAGGGCUCAUCCAGCAUAAAAGAGUCAGAGUUAGUAUUAGGUACAAAGACUGAUACAACGCCUUGUUAGAAAUAAACCACCCUGUUCAAGCCCUUUUACAUGAGCAUGUCCUUUCUAUUUAUAACUGAAAACCAACCCUUUGCCAGAGCACAUGAUAGCAGAUCAGAAUAGCAAAUGAGUGUUAUGAUUUGGCAAAGUAGGAUAGGAUCCAAGUAGUUUAGUUAGAUCCUAUUUCAAGACAGGCAAAAAAGUGGAGCAGAGGGUACCAUUAACCAGGCAUGCUCCCAGUGUAGCACCGCUUGCACAUUACCGCUAAUACGCUCUUUAUUACUUAUACUCUUAAAGAUAGGCGUUUGAUUGGCUAGCUCUUUAUUACUUAUACUCUUAAAGAUAGGCGUUUGAUUGGCUAUGGAGGUGCAAGUGCAUAACACUGAUUUAGAUGAUUACUUGCGACCCUUAGAGCUAGCGCCCCUCCAGUCCGUUCCCCAUUUAAAGAGCUGAUUACUGUGGAGGAGUGAGUAGGGUAGUUAUCAGUGCGUGAUCUGACGGCAUGCCGUUCAAGUUCUCUGUGAUAGCCAUCGCAAAGGUCACCGCAGCAAGUUCAUUUCUAUUUUAUGAAACUAGUCCAAAGUCUAAAUCAUCACUUACCAUUGUUAUGAAUGAAUAAUGACCUCCAUGUUUAAGAUGUUUAGCAUGACAGUGUACAUUUCCACAACAGAAUUUCUCAGCUUUUUUGCCAUUCCUUAUUGUCAUGGAAACCUAAACUGUUGCUGUGAGCUAUGAGAUCAUGUCAUGUUUGUGUUUGUGC